GGGGCUUUAGCUCAAUUGGUAGAGCGCGGCCUUUUCAAAGCGGGGGUCAGGAGUUCGAUUCUCCUAAGCUCCA
rnacentral:tRNA from 1 species